rnacentral:rRNA from 1 species
UAGGGAAUCUUCGGCAAUGGGGGCAACCCUGACCGAGCAACGCCGCGUGAGUGAAGAAGGUUUUCGGAUCGUAAAGCUCUGUUGUAAGAGAAGAACGUGUGUGAGAGUGGAAAGUUCACACAGUGACGGUAACUUACCAGAAAGGGACGGCUAACUACGUGCCAGCAGCCGCGGUAAUACGUAGGUCCCGAGCGUUGUCCGGAUUUAUUGGGCGUAAAGCGAGCGCAGGCGGUUUAAUAAGUCUGAAGUUAAAGGCAGUGGCUUAACCAUUGUUCGCUUUGGAAACUGUUAAACUUGAGUGCAGAAGGGG